rnacentral:miRNA from 1 species
AAACUGAAACCUUUAGGUUGGUGUAAAAGUAAUUGCAGUUUUUGUGAUUUUUUUUUUAAUUGCAAAAAAUGUAAUUACUUUUGCGCCAACCUAAUA